rnacentral:rRNA from 1 species
CGGGGCAACCUGGCGACGAGUGGCGAACGGGUGAGUAACGCAUCGGAACGUGCCCAGUAGUGGGGGAUAGCCCGGCGAAAGCCGGAUUAAUACCGCAUACGACCUACGGGUGAAAGGGGGGGAUCGCAAGACCUCUCGCUAUUGGAGCGGCCGAUGUCAGAUUAGGUUGUUGGUGGGGUAAAAGCCUACCAAGCCGACGAUCUGUAGCUGGUCUGAGAGGACGACCAGCCACACUGGGACUGAGACACGGCCCAGACUCCUACGGGAGGCAGCAGUGGGGAAUUUUGGACAAUGGGCGCAAGCCUGAUCCAGCCAUGCCGCGUGCGGGAAGAAGGCCUUCGGGUUGUAAACCGCUUUUGUCAGGGAAGAAACGCUCUGAGUUAAUACCUCGGGGUAAUGACGGUACCUGAAGAAUAAGCACCGGCUAACUACGUGCCAGCAGCCGCGGUAAUACGUAGGGGCAAGCGUUAAUCGAAUUACUGGGCGUAAAGCGUGCCCAG